rnacentral:Y_RNA from 1 species
GGCUGGUCCAAAGGUAGUGAGUUAUCUCACUUGAUUGUUCACAGUCAGUUACAGAUUGAACUCCUUGUUCUACUACUUUCCCCCCUCCUCACUACUGCACUUGACUAGUCUAAA